AUUGUUUGUCAGCCUUUUGGCUAAGAUCAAGUGUAGUAUCUGUCCUUAUUAGUUUAAUAUCUGGUGUGUCCCUUGUCCGAGGACAAUAUAUUAAAUGGGGUUUUGGAGCAGGGAGCUGGAAUAGGAGCUUGCUCUGUCCACUGCACACGGCCGGCUGGCAUUGCAGUACUCAGGAACGGUGCACCCUCC
rnacentral:snRNA from 1 species